ACCAUUGUCCUCUUUCUUCUAUAUUGUUCAAUUUUUAUUAUGACUCGUCCUUCUAGAUUUCUGCUUAGCACCAACUCAUCUUCAACGCCGGCGGCGGAGCCACCGUCGACGGUGACAGUGGAGUCUGAUUUCGUUGUAAUACUAGCUGCGUUGCUCUGUGCGCUGAUUUGUGUAGUAGGACUCAUCGCCGUCGCGAGAUGUGCGUGGCUCCGGCGAGGAAUCGGGGCCGGCGGGAACGGUGGUAGUCAACCGUCGGCGAAUAAAGGAUUGAAGAAGAAAGUGUUGCAAUCGUUGCCUAAAUUCACCUACGAUCCAAGUAGUACGGCGAACGGUGCGGCGUUCACGGCGGAGUGUGCGAUUUGUUUGGCGGAAUACGCCGUCGGAGAUGAGAUCCGUGUGCUGCCGCAGUGUGGACAUAGUUUUCAUCUUCAGUGUAUUGAUACUUGGCUGGGCUCACACUCUUCAUGUCCUUCUUGUCGUCAAAUUCUCGUCGUUGCUCGGUGCCGGAAGUGCGGUGAGUUCCCGGCAGUUUCCUGUAAAUCCGACGGAGCUCCGGUUACAACUCCGGCCGAGUCUCGUUCAUGCGGUACAUCUACUAGCUCAAAUAAUUUCUUGGUCUAGCGUAACAAUAAAAAAGAGGCAUUAGUUUUUUAAGUUAUAUACUCUGACAAAUCGGUGUAAACGAUAAAUGUAAUUUACACCGUCAGUGCAGUUUUACCUGUGGUAACAUGUCAGUUACUGUGUUGAUGCAGGUUAGGGUAAA
rnacentral:misc_RNA from 1 species